CGAACGCUGGCGGCAUGCCUAACACAUGCACGUCGAACGAGACCUUCGGGUCUAGUGGCGCACGGGUGCGUAACGCGUGGGAACCUGCCCUUAGGUUCGGAAUAACUCCCCGAAAGGGGUGCUAAUACCGGAUAAUGUCUUCGGACCAAAGAUUUAUCGCCUUUGGAUGGGCCCGCGUUGGAUUAGCUAGUUGGUAGGGUAAAAGCCUACCAAGGCGACGAUCCAUAGCUGGUCUGAGAGGAUGAUCAGCCACACUGGGACUGAGACACGGCCCAGACUCCUACGGGAGGCAGCAGUGGGGAAUAUUAGACGAUGGGCGAAAGUCUGAUCCAGCAAUGCCGCGUGAGUGAUGAAGGCCUUAGGGUUGUAAAGCUCUUUUACCCGGGAUGAUAAUGACAGUACCGGGAGAAUAAGCUACGGCUAACUCCGUG
rnacentral:rRNA from 1 species